AGUGAACGCUGGCGGUAGGCCUAACACAUGCAAGUCGAACGGCAGCACAGUAAGAGCUCGCUCUUACGGGUGGCGAGUGGCGGACGGGUGAGGAAUACAUCGGAAUCUACUUUUUCGUGGGGGAUAACGUAGGGAAACUUACGCUAAUACCGCAUACGACCUACGGGUGAAAGCAGGGGAUCUUCGGACCUUGCGCGAUUGAAUGAGCCGAUGUCGGAUUAGCUAGUUGGCGGUGUAAAGGCCCACCAAGCCGACGGUCCGUAGCUGGUCUGAGAGGAUGAUCAGCGACAUUGGAACUGAGACACGGUCCAGACUCCUACUGGAGGCAGCAGUGGGCAAUAUUGGACAAUGGUCGCAAGCCUGAUCCAGACAUACCGCGUGGGUUAAGAACGCUUUCGUGUUGUAAAGCCCUUUUGUUGGGAAAGAAAAGCAGCAGGUUAAUACCCCGCUGUUCUGACGGUACCCAAAGAAUAAGCACCGGCUAACUUCGUG
rnacentral:rRNA from 1 species